GAGGGGCUGGGGUGGAGUCAGGUUCCUCUACGGGAAGAAAGUGGAGGGAACUGCCUUUGUCAUCUUCGGGAUCCAGGAUGGCGAACAGAGGAUUUCCCUGCCUGAAUCCCUCAAGCGCAUUCCGAUUGAGGAUGGCUCGGGGGACGCCGUGCUGAGCCGGAAGGUACUGCUGGACGGGGUGCAGAACCCCCGAGCGGAAGACCUGGUGGGGAAAUCUUUGUACGUGUCUGUCACCGUCAUCUUGCACUCAGGCAGUGACAUGGUGCAGGCGGAGCGCAGCGGGAUCCCCAUCGUGACCUCUCCCUACCAGAUCCAUUUCACCAAGACACCCAAGUACUUCAAACCAGGAAUGCCCUUUGACCUCAUGGUGUUCGUGACGAACCCCGAUGGCUCUCCAGCCUACCGAGUCCCCGUGGCAGUCCAGGGUGAGGACGCUGUGCAGUCUCUAACCCAAGGAGACGGCAUGG
rnacentral:sRNA from 1 species